rnacentral:rRNA from 1 species
AGCAGUCGCCGCGGUAAUUCGCAGGGUGCAAGCGUUAAUCGGAAUUACUGGGCGUAAAGCGUGCGCAGGCGGUUUGUUAAGACAGAUGUGAAAUCCCCGGGCUCAACCUGGGAACUGCAUUUGUGACUGGCAAGCUAGAGUGUGGCAGAGGGGGGUGGAAUUCCGCGUGUAGCAGUGAAAUGCGUAGAUGUGCGGAGGAACACCGAUGGCGAAGGCAGCCCCCUGGGCCAACACUGACGCUGAGGCACGAAAGCGUGGGGAGCAAACAGGAUUAGAUACCCCUGUAGUCCCUGUCUCUUAUAC